rnacentral:rRNA from 1 species
GUAGGGCGGGACACGUGGUAUCCUGUCUGAAUAUGGGGGGACCAUCCUCCAAGGCUAAAUACUCCUGACUGACCGAUAGUGAACCAGUACCGUGAGGGAAAGGCGAAAAGAACCCCGGCGAGGGGAGUGAAAAAGAACCUGAAACCGUGUACGUACAAGCAGUGGGAGCACGCUUAGGCGUGUGACUGCGUACCUUUUGUAUAAUGGGUCAGCGACUUAUAUUCUGUAGCAAGGUUAACCGAAUAGGGGAGCCGAAGGGAAACCGAGUCUUAACUGGGCGUUAAGUUGCAGGGUAUAGACCCGAAACCCGGUGAUCUAGCCAUGGGCAGGUUGAAGGUUGGGUAACACUAACUGGAGGACCGAACCGACUAAUGUUGAAAAAUUAGCGGAUGACUUGUGGCUGGGGGUGAAAGGCCAAUCAAACCGGGAGAUAGCUGGUUCUCCCCGAAAGCUAUUUAGGUAGCGCCUCGUGAAUUCAUCUCCGGGGGUAGAGCACUGUUUCGGCAAGGGGGUCAUCCCGAC